rnacentral:rRNA from 1 species
AGAGUUUGAUCAUGGCUCAGAACGAACGCUGGCGGCGUGCCUAACACAUGCAAGUCGAGGGAGAAAGCCCGCAAGGGUGAGUACACCGGCGAACGGGUGCGUAACACGUGGAUAAUCUACCUCGGUGACCGGGAUAACUGGCCGAAAAGGCUUGCUAAUACCGGAUAAGCCCACGGGAGCUUCGGCUUUCGCGGGAAAAGGCGGCCUCUGCAUGCAAGCUGUCACACCGGGAUGAGUCCGCGGCCCAUCAGCUAGUUGGCGGGGUAAAAGCCCACCAAGGCGACGACGGGUAGCUGGUCUGAGAGGAUGAUCAGCCACACUGGAACUGAGACACGGUCCAGACUCCUACGGGAGGCAGCAGUGGGGAAUCUUGCGCAAUGGGCGAAAGCCUGACGCAGCAACGCCGCGUGUGUGAUGAAGGUCUUCGGAUCGUAAAGCACUGUCGCGAGGGAAGAGAUGUCCCGGAAUAACAAGCCGGGGCUAGGACGGUACCUCGAGAGGAAGCACCGGCUAACUCUGUGCCAGCAGCCGCGGUAAUACAGAGGGUGCGAGCGUUGUUCGGAAUCAUUGGGCGUAAAGCGCUUGUAGGCGGCUUGUUAAGUCGCGUGUGAAAUCCCUUGGCUCAACCAAGGAAGUGCGCGCGAAACUGGCGAGCUGGAGUGCCGGAGAGGGUCGCGGAAUUCCCGGUGUAGAGGUGAAAUUCGUAGAUAUCGGGAGGAACACCAGUGGCGAAGGCGGCGACCUGGACGGACACUGACGCUGAGACGCGAAAGCGUGGGGAGCAAACAGGAUUAGAUACCCUAGUAGUCC